CUAACACAUGCAAGUCGAACGGUAACAGGAAGCAGCUUGCUGCUUUGCUGACGAGUGGCGGACGGGUGAGUAAUGUCUGGGAAACUGCCUGAUGGAGGGGGAUAACUACUGGAAACGGUGGCUAAUACCGCAUAACGUCGCAAGACCAAAGAGGGGGACCUUCGGGCCUCUUGCCAUCAGAUGUGCCCAGAUGGGAUUAGCUUGUUGGUGAGGUAACGGCUCACCAAGGCGACGAUCCCUAGCUGGUCUGAGAGGAUGACCAGCCACACUGGAACUGAGACACGGUCCAGACUCCUACGGGAGGCAGCAGUGGGGAAUAUUGCACAAUGGGCGCAAGCCUGAUGCAGCCAUGCCGCGUGUAUGAAGAAGGCCUUCGGGUUGUAAAGUACUUUCAGCGGGGAGGAAGGUGUUGUGGUUAAUAACCGCAGCAAUUGACGUUACCCGCAGAAGAAGCACCGGCUAACUCCGUGCCAGCAGCCGCGGUAAUACGGAGGGUGCAAGCGUUAAUCGGAAUUACUGGGCGUAAAGCGCACGCAGGCGGUCUGUCAAGUCGGAUGUGAAAUCCCCGGGCUCAACCUGGGAACUGCAUUCGAAACUGGCAGGCUUGAGUCUUGUAGAGGGGGGUAGAAUUCCAGGUGUAGCGGUGAAAUGCGUAGAGAUCUGGAGGAAUACCGGUGGCGAAGGCGGCCCCCUGGACAAAGACUGACGCUCAGGUGCGAAAGCGUGGGGAGCAAACAGGAUUAGAUACCCUGGUAGUCCACGCCGUAAACGAUGUCUACUUGGAGGUUGUGCCCUUGAGGCGUGGCUUCCGGAGCUAACGCGUUAAGUAGACCGCCUGGGGAGUACGGCCGCAAGGUUAAAACUCAAAUGAAUUGACGGGGGCCCGCACAAGCGGUGGAGCAUGUGGUUUAAUUCGAUGCAACGCGAAGAACCUUACCUGGUCUUGACAUCCACAGAAGAAUCCAGAGAUGGAUUUGUGCCUUCGGGAACUGUGAGACAGGUGCUGCAUGGCUGUCGUCAGCUCGUGUUGUGAAAUGUUGGGUUAAGUCCCGCAACGAGCGCAACCCUUAUCCUUUGUUGCCAGCGGUUAGGCCGGGAACUCAAAGGAGACUGCCAGUGAUAAACUGGAGGAAGGUGGGGAUGACGUCAAGUCAUCAUGGCCCUUACGACCAGGGCUACACACGUGCUACAAUGGCGCAUACAAAGAGAAGCGACCUCGCGAGAGCAAGCGGACCUCAUAAAGUGCGUCGUAGUCCGGAUUGGAGUCUGCAACUCGACUCCAUGAAGUCGGAAUCGCUAGUAAUCGUGGAUCAGAAUGCCACGGUGAAUACGUUCCCGGGCCUUGUACACACCGCCCGUCACACCAUGGGAGUGGGUUGCAAAAGAAGUAGGUAGCUUAACCUUCGGGAGGGCGCUUACCACUUUGUGAUUCAUGACUGGGGUGAAGUCGUAACAAGGUAACCGUAGGGGAACCUGCGGUUGGA
rnacentral:rRNA from 1 species